rnacentral:tRNA from 1 species
GGGGAUAUAGCUCAGAUGGGAGAGCGAUACGUUCGCAACGUAUAGGUCACGAGUUCGAGUCUCGCUAUCUCCACCA